rnacentral:tRNA from 1 species
GCCGUUGUGGCGUAGUGGUAGCGCGUCCCACUUGUAUCUUGUUUACCCAAGUAGCAAUGGGAAGGUCAUUCGUUCAAUCCGGGUCUGCGGCA